GACGAACGCUGGCGGCGUGCCUAAUACAUGCAAGUCGAGCGGAGUUUCAAGAAGCUUGCUUUUUGAAACUUAGCGGCGGACGGGUGAGUAACACGUGGGCAACCUGCCCCUUAGACUGGGAUAACUCCGGGAAACCGGAGCUAAUACCGGAUAAUCCCUUUCUCCACCUGGAGAGAGGGUGAAAGAUGGCUUCGGCUAUCACUAGGGGAUGGGCCCGCGGCGCAUUAGCUAGUUGGUAAGGUAACGGCUUACCAAGGCGACGAUGCGUAGCCGACCUGAGAGGGUGAUCGGCCACACUGGGACUGAGACACGGCCCAGACUCCUACGGGAGGCAGCAGUAGGGAACUUCCGCAAGGACGAAAGUCUGACGGAGCAACGCCGCGUGAGUGAGGAAGGCCUUCGGGUCGUAAAGCUCUGUUGUGAGGGAAGAAGCGGUACCGUUCGAAUAGGGCGGUACCUUGACGG
rnacentral:rRNA from 2 species